ensembl:antisense
AGGGAGGAGCUCCUAAUUCCCGGUCAGCCCAGGAGCCGGGGUUCUCCAGCAAUGAACAAGAAGGCAAUUGUCUCUCCCAAAUGUCCAUUUUCCUAGCCUAGACUCCAGCAUCCCUGGUGACCCCCAGCCAUCACAUCAUCCCCCCCCCCCAACGUGCCCAAGUUCCUGUGGCGACCCUCGUCUAGCACGUUUUCUUCCCGUGCUAGUCUGUGACCCCAGCAUCCCUCGUGACGACCCCUGAAUCCCCACAGUGAUCCCCCUCAGUCCCCAGUAGUGUCCUCAGUGAAAAUCCUCAGGGUGACCCCAGAAUUCCCUGCUGGAGACACUCUUAGCUCCUGAGUCCCCGGUGGCGACUAUGAGCACCCAUGAAUUAUCUCCAUCCUUGAGUCCCCUAGUGGCGACCUCCGAGUUCCCCGCACCUCCAAGUCCCUCGCCGUGACCCCCAACGCCCCCCCCCCGCAUCCCCUUGCUACCAGUGGUGCCUUGCGGUGAUACCCGAGAGCCUAGUGGCGCCCUCCCGCAGUAACCACCUCCAACUCGAGUAAGUCCCCGCGGGAUGCUAGUCCUGGCGCCCCUCACCCUUCGCCACGCAGGUACCUGGCGGGCCAGGGUUGCAGUUGCUCGGGGCAAGCAGGCCAUGACGAAGCUGCGGGCGCGUGGGAAUACGUGGCACAGCGGCGACUCGUGGCGCACCGCGGGUCCCGAGAGCCCGGGUCUGCAGUUCGGCGUAGCGGGCGAUAGAGGUACGAAGGGUGAGCCACCAGCAGGUACCCGGUGCAGGGACGAGCGCAGUCGAUGCAGCAUCUCCGCGUCACGGGUGCGUGCAGUCACUCAUGGCUGGGCACGCGCAUGGAGGGCCCAGGAGCACCCGCGCUUUACUAAGGAACUCUGAAGGGCAGGGCCCCGGACACCUCAGCGACACAUUAGCAUCACAAGGGCCCUCUCUCAGACCAGGAUUUGCAGCAGGGACCAGCAUUUGUGCUUGGGCUCUCAGCAACAGACCUACAGUUGCUGACCUCAAAACGUGAGGACUCUGCCUUGCGGUUCGGUUUGUGUGACCUAGCUACCCUGCCAGUAGCCUCCUGUGCGGCCUAUGGUUCAGGCAAAACAACCGCCCUGCUAGUGCGGGGUGGUGUCUGUCGCUUUUAACCCCCGCGCUUGAAAGGCUGAUGAAAGAUGAUUGCUAAGAUCAACCUGUGCUACAGAGAGGCCCUGUCUCCCAAGCACGCAAGCAAACAAACAAACCUAGGAGUUAGAAUCCACAACCACUACCAGCUCCCAAGGACCACCAACUGACCUUGUCCUUGCACUCAGGUGUCAGAAGCUAACUCCUUCAUUUCUGCCCUCAUUACUGUUCAGCUUCUUUUCCAAAGGGGUCCCACGGACUCUCCCAAACAUCACAGGCUAUAGCCAAGGCUAUUGUUUACUCUCCAUAACCUAAUGGUAAGGCCCUGUUUGCUGAAGACAUAAUCUGCAUAUGUCAUCAAACAUGGAGAAAAUUAGCCUAGCUGAAGCUCUACCCCUCCAGACGAGCACACAUGGUACUGGAAGGCACUUCAUCACAUACCACCAGAGGAGAAAAGUAAUGGAGUAAUCACCAAUAUCACCCAUCUAUGAACCAUGAGAUCCACAACAGAGACCUGACUGCAGGAUGGACCGGUGAGAUAGUGAUACAAAUGGUAUUGUUGGAUACAAAGUUACACAAAUGUUAUUGUUGGAUACAAAAUGACCCCCAAAUGGCAACGCUGGUGAUUGUAUCCUAAACAGAAGGACUCUGGCUUGAUCCAGUAAACAGAAGGAUUGUUACAGGAGGAAAAAAAAGGGGGGGGGGGAAUCAGCAUCUGAUAGCAAUCUCCUACUGCAGGAUUGUGUUACCAAGGAAGCCACUGUAUCCCUUACUGACUUGACCUCUGGCAAGGGCAUCUAGUUCCUGACUAACCCUUCACUAACACCUACACUUUUCUGGCCUUCUCCAUUCCUUUCCUGAAGCCUAAAGGCUUCCUGCUUUGUCCACACACCCACUCCCCUGCCAAGACAGCACAGCAUUUUGAUUCCUCAAAUAAGCUUUCCUCUACCCUCACUUAUAGUUAUGGGAGUAACUGGCUACUUUUCUAUUAGAUUUAAAGACCCACUCUAUGAUAUGGAACCCAUACAUUACACUAUUUAAGUGGCCAAACUGAGACUAGAUAAGUCAUGGGACUAAAGGAAAACCUACUAUUAUUCUGCUAAAGAAACAUAGCAACGAAUGACUCCUAAUGACAUAUUGCUAUGCCCAUUGGGCAGAGUAUCAUUCGGCUGCAUAAAAAGAUCCAGGCAGUAGAUGGGAUUGAUGCAGAUCCACAACUGGACUUGGAUAUAGAUGGUGACUGACCACACAAGUAACAAAGAGAAAAAUCUGUGUUGUGGUUCAC